AUUGAACGCUGGCGGCAGGCUUAACACAUGCAAGUCGAACGCCCCGCAAGGGGAGUGGCAGACGGGUGAGUAACGCGUGGGAAUCUACCUAGUUCUACGGAACAACAGAGGGAAACUUCUGCUAAUACCGUAUACGCCCUAUGGGGGAAAGAUUUAUCGGAAUUAGAUGAGCCCGCGUAAGAUUAGCUAGUUGGUGGGGUAAUGGCCUACCAAGGCGACGAUCUUUAGCUGGUCUGAGAGGAUGAUCAGCCACACUGGGACUGAGACACGGCCCAGACUCCUACGGGAGGCAGCAGUGGGGAAUAUUGGACAAUGGGCGCAAGCCUGAUCCAGCCAUGCCGCGUGAGUGAUGAAGGCCUUAGGGUUGUAAAGCUCUUUCACCGAUGAAGAUAAUGACGGUAGUCGGAGAAGAAGCCCCGGCUAACUUCGUGCCAGCCGCCGCGGUAAGAC
rnacentral:rRNA from 1 species